AGGACUGUACUUUCAGGAUGGUUUCUACAGUCCGUUAGAGAAGGCUCCUUGAACAUGCGGGGCAUGGAAAACUGCGCGGUGGCGGCCGGCGCUCUCCUGAGCGUGCAGUGGGCUCAAGUGUUGCUUUCUGCAACUGCCUACUGCCCCUGAGGAUUGCUCUCCCCCACUGCCGGGAGUAAGAGGAAGAGAAGGCAGGGUGAGCGGC
rnacentral:snoRNA from 1 species